rnacentral:rRNA from 1 species
AGUGAACGCUGGCGGUAGGCCUAACACAUGCAAGUCGAACGGCAGCACAGUAAGAGCUUGCUCUUACGGGUGGCGAGUGGCGGACGGGUGAGGAAUACAUCGGAAUCUACUUUUUCGUGGGGGAUAACGUAGGGAAACUUACGCUAAUACCGCAUACGACCUACAGGUGAAAGCAGGGGAUCUUCGGACCUUGCGCGAUUGAAUGAGCCGAUGUCGGAUUAGCUAGUUGGCGGGGUAAAGGCCCACCAAGGCGACGAUCCGUAGCUGGUCUGAGAGGAUGAUCGGCCACACUGGAACUGAGACACGGUCCAGACUCCUACGGGAGGCAGCAGUGGGGAAUAUUGGACAAUGGGCGCAAGCCUGAUCCAGCCAUACCGCGUGGGUGAAGAAGGCCUUCGGGUUGUAAAGCCCUUUUGUUGGGAAAGAAAAGCAGCAGGUUAAUACCCCGCUGUUCUGACGGUACCCAAAGAAUAAGCACCGGCUAACUUCGUG